CAUGUGGAAGAGGAAUUAGCAUUUUAGCUGGAUCACUCAGUUGGCAUGUAGAAAUCAAAUGCUCUCUAGAGCAUUUAGGAAGCUAUUGAUACACUCCUAGUCAGAAAGGACAAGAACCUAGAGAGUGGUCUUGGGAAAGGGAGGGAAACAGGAAUUUGAGAGGUAUAUAGGAGAAGAAAUUCACAAGAUUUAGUUUCCUUAACAGUAGAUGACACACAGGAGCUAAAAGAAUGUAUAUGUAUUGUUGUCCUCUAGUGACUACCAUUCUCUUAGAGCCAGAAUCUCUAUUUGUUUCAAACUCUUGGGCCUGUCACCUUCCUAUAGAAUUCCCACAGGAUGUCAACACUUUUAUAUGGGUCCCAGGGCAAUUACAACCUUAAAUCUGAUGCCCACUCACUGAAGGACUAAUUGGUGGUGUCCUCCUUGCUGAUAACCUGCGGAUGUUGAAGGGAAAUCCAGCAGCCCAUGAUGCGGACUGAUGCUGCGGAAAUCUGGAGGCUGGUGUGGCUUGAGGGCCCCAAGUUGGACACAACCCAGAUACCCAUUGACAAGUUAACAUAAACAAAUUGUAGCAAGUGUGCACGAUGAAAUACUAUUUGGCAACGAAAAGGAAGGAACUUCUGGUCUGAGCAGCAACAUGAGGAAUCUCAGAAACAUUAUGCUGUGUGAAGAAAUCCAUGGUUUAUGGAAGAAGACUCCAUGGUUUAUCCUCUCGUUCAUAUCACUUUCUGCAAAAGGCAAACUGGAGACUUAAAGCAGAUCAGUGGUUGCCAGAGAGGAAGUAUAUGCUUCGGUGGUGGUAAACCCUGUAAGGCUCCUACAACGGUUGAGAAGGGUCUUCUUGGAGGAGCUGUCCUGAGGGCUGCAUGGGCUUCCUAGCCUGCAGAGGAAGCCACUGUCUGAUGCUUGUCUGCCUGCUUCCCAGUGAUCGCAGCUACUUCAAGAGGUGCUGUGUGGCCGAGGAGGUCUAGUCUGUCACCAGCCACCAUGGCCUCUGGCUCCUCUUCUGUGAUAACCUUCCGGCCAGAGACAUUUCACCGUCUGCCGCUAUCUGCUCGCAACCCCCUCACCAAUACACUCAUUUUCUUCUAACAUUCACGAUCCAGAAAGUUCCUAAUACUCAUCAGAAACCCUUAUUGCGGGAUCCCUGGGUGGCUCAGCGGUUUAGCGGUUUAGCGCCUGCCUGUGGCUCAGGGCGUGAUCCUGGAGUUCGGGGAUCAAGUCCCACAUCAGGCUCCCUGCAGGGAGUCUGCUUCUCCCUCUGCCUGUGUCUCUGCCUCUUUCUCUCUUUCUGUGUCUCUUGUGAAUCUUAAAAAAAUAAAAUAAAAGAAAGCCUUAUUGCUGUAGUGCAAAUCCAUUUCCUUGACCAGAAGCAAAGACGAGCCAUUCUCGAACUCUUUGAGUCUACACAUCCCUGCAUUUCUUAAACAAAUUCUCAGAAUGCUAUCAAAUAAGCUAAUGAGGAGCCUUGUAAAAAUGAGAAUAAUUUCUGUCUCUCUAUCCUAAUUUACAUUUGUCCAUUUCCUGAUGUUCCAUUCUGUUAAACUUUAAUUUGCUCCCCUCUUAUCCCAAGCCUUUCAGAGUCUCACAUAGGAGAUUUUGUUCAGAGUCGAGUCUCCAGGGCUCUAAUGGGUUACACUUAUGGGCAGGCAAGAUGCAUUUUGUCCCUGAAGUGAUCUCUAGAUUGCCCACCCAACUUCUCAGGGUAUACUGGCAUGGGCUGGCAUGAUGGAGAAGCA